CUGUUUGAGAGAAGUUGCUGCUUUAAAGAGAAAAAUGAGUGGAAAAGGCAUCUAUUUAACAUUUUGGAGCUGCUGCUUUAAAGAGAUAAACAAGCGGAAAAGCCGUCAAUUUAAAGUGGUUUUGUUCUUUGAGGAGUCAUUUUUGUUUUUUCGCAUUGUCCAACGUUUGGUGAGAUUUUCUACAUUGCUGAACGGGACUUGGCUGUGUUUGUUUUGAGUGACAGCUGUGUCCAGGGUUCAAGGACACGUCAACAUGUAGACAUGAAUAUCCAGGAAUUAAACCAACAUCUUUUUGGUGAGUGGAACCUGUUCUCCAUUAUGUGAAAUACAUUUGGUUCAGUUCUUGAAAAAUGUCUCAUGUAACAAUGUUGAGGAACAGAAACAUGUCCAGA